GCGCAGAGCCACUGCGUAUAAGGCCUUGGGAGCCCGCGACUGAAUGCAGACGCAAGCCAGCGAGCAGACGAGAUGGGUGCCGCAGCGCUUCGGUGCCUAUGAGAAUUUUUUUCUUUGGAAAAAAAAAUGGAACCGGCUCCAUUCGCCAUCUACGAGCACGGAUUUUAGGCGAAGAGGAUAUUGAAGGAUAUUGCACGCGACUGGAGAGGCUGAAGUGUGUGUAGGUGCCUGUGGCUGUGACAGAAUCCGGUCUUGGAGUGACAGGGUGGUCGACGUCUGUUGCCGUCUGCAGCCAGAGGAGGUCAGUACCGUGUUUUCGUGCCAAUCGACUUGAGGCGACAGGUAGUGUUGGUUCCUCCUGACCCUGUAUCAUGAUUUCACGGCUGAAUCCAUUCAAGCGAGCGUGGGAGUUUGUCCGAUACUGCUAUUUUCAGUUCGCUGUUCACACGUGCAUUACCAUGUUGGAACCAGUGGAAGAGAAAGUUUUGAAUACCUGCCUUUUGCUGAUUUUGGCAAUGGUUGCCUAUGUGACCUACACGUAUCUACCUGGCCACCUCCUUAUGCUGUUCAACUUUGCCUGCAAUAUUACAGGAAUAAGAUGGUAGUUCCUGCUAAAUAUACUCUUUUAUUCAUUGUACAUAAAAUUAGUUUUUUGUGAUGAAGCAUUUCUGAGCCUGGGAACAAAUCCUUAUGAAAGCACAGCUUUGCUCAAUAUGUAGAAUGGGAGUGUCUCAGAAAUUUGGUUAUUAUAUUUGUUAACUAUUAAAUUAUCAAACUUUGUCUGGUCUGUUUGCUGGUGAAAUAAUGGUGAAAUAAUGAGCUUAAUAAAAAAAAAAUUCAUAUGCA